UACGUAGGGUGCGAGCGUUUGUCCGGAAUUACUGGGCGUAAAGAGCUCGUAGGUGGUUUGUCGCGUUGUUCGUGAAAUCUCACGGCUUAACUGUGAGCGUGCGGGCGAUACGGGCAGACUGGAGUACUGCAGGGGAGACUGGAAUUCCUGGUGUAGCGGUGGAAUGCGCAGAUAUCAGGAGGAACACCGAUGGCGAAGGCGGGUCUCUGGGCAGUAACUGACGCUGAGGAGCGAAAGCGUGGGGAGCGAACAGG
rnacentral:rRNA from 1 species